ACGUUGUCGGAUUAUUGGGCGUAAGCGAGCGCAGGCGGUUUUUUAAGUCUGAUGUGAAAGCCUUCGGCUCAACCGAAGAAGUGCAUCGGAAACUGGGAAACUUGAGUGCAGAAGAGGACAGUGGAACUCCAUGUGUAGCGGUGAAAUGCGUAGAUAUAUGGAAGAACACCAGUGGCGAAGGCGGCUGUCUGGUCUGUAACUGACGCUGAGGCUCGAAAGUAUGGGUAGCAAACAGGAUUAGAUACCCUGGUAGUCCAUACCGUAAACGAUGAAUGCUAAGUGUUGGAGGGUUUCCGCCCUUCAGUGCUGCAGCUAACGCAUUAAGCAUUCCGCCUGGGGAGUACGGCCGCAAGGCUGAAACUCAAAGGAAUUGACGGGGGCCCGCACAAGCGGUGGAGCAUGUGGUUUAAUUCGAAGCUACGCGAAGAACCUUACCAGGUCUUGACAUACUAUGCAAAUCUAAGAGAUUAGACGUUCCCUUCGGGGACAUGGAUACAGGUGGUGCAUGGUUGUCGUCAGCUCGUGUCGUGAGAUGUUGGGUUAAGUCCCGCAACGAGCGCAACCCUUAUUAUCAGUUGCCAGCAUUAAGUUGGGCACUCUGGUGAGACUGCCGGUGACAAACCGGAGGAAGGUGGGGAUGACGUCAAAUCAUCAUGCCCCUUAUGACCUGGGCUACACACGUGCUACAAUGGAUGGUACAACGAGUUGCGAACUCGCGAGAGUAAGCUAAUCUCUUAAAGCCAUUCUCAGUUCGGAUUGUAGGCUGCAACUCGCCUACAUGAAGUCGGAAUCGCUAGUAAUCGCGGAUCAGCAUGCCGCGGGUGAAUACGUUCCCGGG
rnacentral:rRNA from 2 species